UAGGGAAUAUUGGGCAAUGGAGGGAACUCUGACCCAGCCAUGCCGCGUGCAGGAUGAAGGCGUUAUGCGUUGUAAACUGCUUUUAUAUAGGAAGAAAUAGUCCUUGCGAGGAAAGUUGACGGUACUAUAUGAAUAAGCACCGGCUAACUCCGUGCCAGCAGCCGCGGUAAUACGGAGGGUGCAAGCGUUGUCCGGAUUUAUUGGGUUUAAAGGGUGCGUAGGCGGUUUAUUAAGUCAGUGGUGAAAGACGGUCGCUCAACGAUUGCAGUGCCAUUGAUACUGGUAGACUUGAGUAUGAUUGAGGUAGCUGGAAUGGAUAGUGUAGCGGUGAAAUGCAUAGAUAUUAUCCAGAACACCAAUUGCGUAGGCAAGUUACUAAGUCAUAACUGACGCUGAGGCACGAAAGUGUGGGUAUCAAACAGGAUUAGAUACCCUGGUAGUCCCUGAGCGGGCUGGCAAGGCGCAU
rnacentral:rRNA from 1 species